rnacentral:rRNA from 1 species
GAUGAACGCUAGCUACAGGCUUAACACAUGCAAGUCGAGGGGCAGCACUAGGUAGCAAUACUGAGGUGGCGACCGGCGCACGGGUGCGUAACGCGUAUCCAACCUUCCCGUUACUCUUGGAUAGCCUUCCGAAAGGGAGAUUAAUACAAGAUGGUAUUCAAAUUCCGCAUGUUAUUUGAAUUAAAGAUUUAUCGGUAACGGAUGGGGAUGCGUGACAUUAGAUAGUAGGCGGGGUAACGGCCCACCUAGUCUACGAUGUCUAGGGGUUCUGAGAGGAAGGUCCCCCACACUGGAACUGAGACACGGUCCAGACUCCUACGGGAGGCAGCAGUGAGGAAUAUUGGUCAAUGGUCGGAAGACUGAACCAGCCAAGUAGCGUGAAGGAUGAAGGUUCUAUGGAUUGUAAACUUCUUUUAUACGGGAAUAAAACCUCCCACGUGUGGGAGCUUGUAUGUACCGUAUGAAUAAGCAUCGGCUAACUCCGUGCCAGCAGCCGCAGUAAGAC